rnacentral:rRNA from 1 species
UACGUAGGGUGCGAGCGUUGUCCGGAAUUAUUGGGCGUAAAGAGCUUGUAGGCGGUUUGUCGCGUCUGCUGUGAAAAUCCGGGGCUCAACCCCGGACUUGCAGUGGGUACGGGCAGGCUAGAGUGUGGUAGGGGAGACUGGAAUUCCUGGUGUAGCGGUGAAAUGCGCAGAUAUCAGGAGGAACACCGGUGGCGAAGGCGGGUCUCUGGGCAGUAACUGACGCUGAGGAGCGAAAGCGUGGGUAGCGAACAGG